rnacentral:other from 1 species
GUUCUACUGCGACGUUGGUGACUGCCAAUAAUGUUUUUAGAUCUGUGCCUUUUCGUAUAAGGGAACCAAGUUGCUCUAGUAGCAGUAAAUCGAGCUUGUACUCGAAAAUUUUACGCUCGGGCCAAGGUACCCACCUGGAUAAAUCCAGGUCAAAAGCUGAGGUAAGACGGCGUCGCGGGGAACUU